AGCAUCCAUGUUAAUCGAAGAAAAAACUACACUAAACCAUAAAUUAAUUAGUAUUAUGGAAAAGAUUAUCACGAACACGGGCCUGGGGGGUUUAUGAAGGAGUUGGGAGGAUGUAUGCAACGAAAGGCUUAUUUGUUCACUUGUGCUAAGGGCCCAAGUCUUGCCCAAAAGGACCCAAGAACCAGCUUCAUGAAAGAAUUCCUGAACGUACCUUCAAACUGAACACAAAUUGAAUGCUCGUGAGAACUCACAGAUCGAAUGAAGCUGCUCGCGUAAACCUCGCGUCGUUGUCGUCGACGCGUCUUUGACGAGGAAUGAGGAUCAAUUUAGCCGGUAACAUAUAGUCAACGACGGGUGAAGAUCAACUUCAAUCGGUAACGCGUAAUCGACGGAGAAUGAGGAUUAACUUCGGUUGGAAACGCGCCGUCAACGAGGAGUGAGGAUCAGCUUUGAUCGGAAAUGCACCGUCAACGAGGAGUGAGGAUCAGCUUUGAUUGGAUGCGUCUCCAGGUUCUUGGUAUGGUAGUUUUUUUGAGGUCACUUUGAAGUUUGGAGGGUGAUUGUCGGUGAACUUCCUUCAACAAUUACCGUGAUUGAUCGGCUAGGCUCAACUAAAGAAUUAAUCCCAUCAAGAACCGUGGGACUACAUAAAUUUGCAUUCUCCAAUGCCAUCCAUUUCCUUCUGUCUAUAUAGCCUUGAUCAAUAAUCAUGUAACCUAUUCAAAUUUGUGGAAGCUAACCUUUUUGAUCAUCUGCUUUGAAUUUCCAAAUUGUAUGCUACUUAUGAUGUAAUUACAAAAUGAAUCAACAUUUGUAUAGAAUGAUUUUUUAUGGACAUUUAACUAAAAUUUCCCACCAAA